rnacentral:Y_RNA from 1 species
GGCUGGUAUGAAGGUAGUGAAUUAUCUCACUUGAUUGUUCACAGUCUAUUACAGAUAGAACUCCUUGUUCUGCUACUUUCCUUCUCACUACUGUACUUGACUAGUCUUGA